rnacentral:rRNA from 1 species
UACGUAGGGCGCAAGCGUUGUCCGGAAUUAUUGGGCGUAAAGGGCGCGUAGGCGGCGACCCAAGUCAGAUGUGAAAGUCCUGGGCUUAACCUGGGGACUGCAUUUGAUACUGGGUUGCUUGAAUUCGGGAGAGGAUAGCGGAAUUCCCAGUGUAGAGGUGAAAUUCGUAGAUAUUGGGAAGAACACCGGUGGCGAAGGCGGCUAUCUGGACCGACAUUGACGCUGAGGCGCGAAAGCGUGGGGAGCAAACAGG